rnacentral:rRNA from 1 species
AGUGAACGCUGGCGGCGUGCCUAACACAUGCAAGUCGAACGGGCUAGUGCUUCGCACUAGUCUCUUUCUGGGGUUGUUACUCUAAGGCUACCUGCUAAAGUUAUUGCUUUAAAGCAGGGGUUUUAGGAGACUUUCCCCGAAAGGGGCCAGUGCGGAGCACUGGCCAGUGGCGAACGGGUGAGUAACACGUGGGUAAUCUACCCUCGAGUGGGGAAUAAGCUUCCGAAAGGGGGUCUAAUGCCGCAUAACGUUUCAUAACGAUGGUUAUGAAACCAAAGCCCAAAAGGCGCUCGAGGAGGAGCCUGCGUCCUAUCAGCUUGUUGGCAGGGUAAUGGCCUACCAAGGCUAUGACGGGUAGCCGGCCUGGAGAGGGUGUCCGGCCACACUGGAACUGAGACACGGUCCAGACUCCUACGGGAGGCAGCAGUGGGGAAUUUUGCGCAAUGGGGGAAACCCUGACGCAGCGACGCCGCGUGGAGGAUGACGGCCUUCGGGUUGUAACGUACCUCGUUCAGAAGGGACGGAAAGUACCCGACGAACGGUACG